AGAGUUUGAUCAUGGCUCAGGAUGAACGCUGGCGGCGUGCUUAACACAUGCAAGUCGAACGGUGAAGCCCAGCUUGCUGGGUGGAUCAGUGGCGAACGGGUGAGUAACACGUGAGCAAUCUGCCCCUGACUCUGGGAUAAGCGCUGGAAACGGCGUCUAAUACUGGAUAUGAACCGUGGAGGCAUCUUCAACGGUUGGAAAGAUUUUUGGUCAGGGAUGAGCUCGCGGCCUAUCAGCUUGUUGGUGGGGUAAUGGCUCACCAAGGCGUCGACGGGUAGCCGGCCUGAGAGGGUGACCGGCCACACUGGGACUGAGACACGGCCCAGACUCCUACGGGAGGCAGCAGUGGGGAAUAUUGCACAAUGGGCGCAAGCCUGAUGCAGCAACGCCGCGUGAGGGAUGACGGCCUUCGGGUUGUAAACCUCUUUUAGCAGGGAAGAAGCGAAAGUGACGGUACCUGCAGAAAAAGCGCCGGCUAACUACGUG
rnacentral:rRNA from 1 species